rnacentral:rRNA from 1 species
GAUGAACGCUGGCGGCGUGCCUAAUACAUGCAAGUCGAACGCUUCUUUCCUGCUGACUGCUUGCACUCGAGUGGAACGGGGGGGUGCGGCCUGGGGAGCAACCCGUUGGUAACGUACCCAUCCGGGGGAGAUGACACUAGGACACAGGUGCUAAUACCGCCUAACAGUUUGUGCCGCAUGGCAUAAGCGUGAAUGGCGCUUUCGGCUGUCGCUGAUGGUUGGACCGGCGGUGCAUUAGCUAGUUGGUGAGGUAACGGCUCACCAAGGCCACGAUGCAUAGCCGACCUGAGAGGGUGAUCGGCCACACUGGGACUGAGACACGGCCCAGACUCCUACGGGAGGCAGCAGUAGGGAAUCUUCGGCAAUGGACGAAAGUCUGACCGAGCAACGCCGCGUGAGUGAAGAAGGUGUUCGGAUCGUAAAGCUCUGUUGUUAGAGAGGAACAAGGAUGUGAGUAACUGAACGUCACCUGACGGUACCUACAGAGAAAGCACCGGCUAACUACGUG